GACAGAGGUGCCGAGCGUUAGGCGGAAUCACUGGGCUUAAAGCGCGUGUAGGCGGGCGGGCAAGUACCCUGUGAAAUCCCACGGCUCAACCGUGGAACGGCUGGGUAUACUGCCUGUCUUGAGCCAACUAGGGGCGAGCGGAACAGACGGUGGAGCGGUGAAAUGCGUAGAUAUCGUCUGGAACGCCGAAGGUGAAAACAGCUCGCUGGGGUUGUGCUGACGCUGAGACACGAAAGCCAGGGGAGCGAACGGG
rnacentral:rRNA from 1 species